rnacentral:siRNA from 1 species
AUUACGGGAUUACUUUUUUGGCA